GAUGAAGAAUGCAGCGAAAUGCGAUAAGUAAUGUGAAUUGCAGAAUUCAGUGAAUCAUCGAAUCUUUGAACGCACAUUGCGCCCCUUGGUAUUCCGAGGGGCAUGCCUGUUCGAGCGUCAUUAUAACCCCUCAAGCUCAGCUUGGUGUUGGGGCCUGCUGCACUGGCAGCCCUUAAAAUCAGUGGCGGCGCCAUCUGGCUCUAAGCGUAGUAAUUCUUCUCGCUAUGGAGUCCUGGUGGAUGCUUGCCAUCAACCCCCAAUUUUUCUAUGGUUGACCUCGGAUCAGGUAGGGAUACCCGCUGAACUUAAGCAUAUCAAUAAGCGGAGGA
rnacentral:misc_RNA from 1 species